rnacentral:rRNA from 1 species
UACGAAGGGGGCUAGCGUUGUUCGGAAUUACUGGGCGUAAAGCGCACGUAGGCGGACUAUUAAGUCAGGGGUGAAAUCCCGGGGCUCAACCCCGGAACUGCCUUUGAUACUGGCGAUCUCGAGUCCGGGAGAGGUGAGUGGAACUGCGAGUGUAGAGGUGAAAUUCGUAGAUAUUCGCAAGAACACCAGUGGCGAAGGCGGCUCACUGGCCCGAUACUGACGCUGAGGCACGAAAGCUAGGGGAGCAAACAGG